GUCUUUCCUACGCGAUGGACAUCCUCACACUGUGAACCAAAGCAGUCCCUCCAUUGAGUUGCUUUUCAGCAUUUUUGUUCGGGUUUUGCAAUUCUGAAAAUCCAUCCCAGCCAAACAUUGAGUCAUGCCCCCAGUCCUUCAGUGGCCUUAUGUCACGGCAGUGAAAAGCAGGUACCUUGCAUGUGAUUUACACAGUGAAUGGCCCUGCUUUCAGAGCAAGUUAAUGAUAUAAUAUCCCCAUUUAUAUUCAGAGCAGUCAACACUCUCUAGCUCUCAGAAUAAUAAAAGCACCUGCAUUUAAUAUACAUGGAAGAAUGGGAAGGCAAAUAGCAGAUAAGGCACAAUCAGUGUCUGUCUCCAGAUGGCUCGUUAGACCCAAGGAGCAAUUCUCUUUCACUUAUAAUAUCUGCAAGUAUUUGAAUUGAUACUGAUAUCUUCAGAUUUUGUUGAAAGCUGUUGUGCAGGUCCCAGCUAUUCCAUGUCUUCAUGGCAGAUGAGAAGUGCAUGGCUGUCUGUAAGCAGAGUGUAAAAGAUGGAACAGAUUGUUUUCUUAGGUGCACACAGGCUGACACUGAAGAUGCACACGUGCCAUUGAAAUAAACCAAGAGUAUUGUGUGGCUUCCAGAGCCCUGCCUGUACCUGCACCUUUUCCUCUUCCACUCAAGAACUCAUGUUAGCAGGGUUACAGACAACAUCAGCAAACUCUGGCUAGAAUUUGUUGGAUGAACAGUCAGAGCCUGAAAUUCAGGAGUUGGAGUGGCAAGCAGGUUGAUGCUACAGACUGGAUCUCCAGGGACAUCAGAAGCGCAGUGUUAUGGACCUUUCCUUUGUAGUGCUGAUGCCUUUAUUUGUUGUCUUUAGUGACCUGCCAUCGGUUUUCAGGAAGACUGGGCUGUGCCUACAGCACAAACACUGAUACCAUCACUUCUCUGUAUCGGGGCACUUCACAGGGCAAAGGGAAUGCUGGGAGAGCAAUACGUUUUUAAAGUUUUUUUUAAUUGAUAUACUUUAUUUGAAAUGUUAUAUAGUAUUGAAAACUAAUUGUAGAGACAACAGAUGUUAUUAAUUUAUAUAACUGUUUACCAUAAAAGAGAGACAUGAAAAGUAUUUAUGUUCUGGGCUGGAGGUGUGCAUCAGUGGUGGAAUGCGUGGCUAGUGUGUAUGAGGCCCUGGGUUCAAUCGCAAGGAAACCUCCUCCCCUUAAAAAAAAAGCAGAAGAUAGUUACAUGAUAAUAUUUCAGAACUUCACUGAAAGGUUUUAAAGGCUCAAUGGAGGCACAAUUGACAUAUAUAAUGAAGCCCGUAUAUUUGAAGGACAUAGUUUGGUAUAUUUUGGCACAUGUGGUGCACACCUGAAACACUGCCACCAUGAUGGAGACAAUGAAUGUAUCUCACCCCUUGAUGCCUUAUGCCUUUGCCUGUAUCUCACCCCUGUGUGUCUCCUUGUGCCUUUGCCUUUGUGUUCCUUCCCUCAGCCUUGCCAUCCCUAAGCACCUGCCAUUUACGUCCCUCAGAUCAUCUUGCAUUCUUCAGAGUAUCAUAUACAUGGGAUCAUACAAUAAAUAGCUCUCCGUGUGGCUUUUCUACUCAGCACAACUACUUGGAGACUCACCAAGGCUGCAGUGCAUAGCAUUGCUUUGUUGCUUUUUAUGAAUGACUUGUACUGAAUCGAAUAUAUAGCUUGCUUAUCUAUUUACUAGUUGACAGGCAAUUUACUUAUUUCUAUUUGGGGAUGUUGCCAUAAAAAAUGUUAUGAGAA
rnacentral:lncRNA from 1 species